AUCUGGCUCCGUUCCGGGGUCCGAGUUGUAAUUUGGAGAGGAUGCUUCGGGCGCGGCACCGGUCUAAGUCCCUUGGAACAGGGCGUCAUAGAGGGUGAGGAUCCCGUAUGUGACCGGCGACCAAGUCCAUGUGAAGCCCCUUCGACGAGUCGAGUUGUUUGGGAAUGCAGCUCAAAAUGGGUGGUAAAUUUCAUCUAAAGCUAAAUACCGGCCAGAGACCGAUAGCGCACAAGUAGAGUGAUCGAAAGAUGAAAAGCACUUUGGAAAGAGAGUCAAAAAGUACGUGAAAUUGUUGAAAGGGAAGCGCUUGUAACCAGACCUGCCGUCGGGUGCUCAGCGGGCACUUGUGCCCGCCUAUUCACCCGCGAUCAGGCCAGCAUCGGUUUGGGCGGCCGGAUAAAGACUCGAGGAAUGUAGCUUCGCUUCGGGGAAGUGUUAUAGCCUCGGGUGCAAUACGGCCAGCCGGGACCGAGGACCGCGCUUCGGCUAGGAUGCUGGCGUAAUGGUUGCAAGCGACCCGUCUUGAAACACGGACCAAGGAGUCUAACAUCUAUGCGAGUGUUUGGGUGUCAAACCCAUGCGCGGAAUGAAAGUGAACGGAGGUGGGAACCCUCAAGGGCGCACCAUCGACCGAUCCGGAAGUUUACGGAUGGAUUUGAGUAUGAGCAUAGCUGUUGGGACCCGAAAGAUGGUGAACUAUGCCUGAAUAGGGUGAAGCCAGAGGAAACUCUGGUGGAGGCUCGCAGCGGUUUUGACGUGCAAAUCGAUCGUCAAAUUUGGGUAUAGGGGCGAAAGACUAAUCGAACCAUCUAGUAGCUGGUUCCUGCCGAAGUUUCCCUCAGGAUAGCAGUAACGUUUUCAGUUUUAUGAGGUAAAGCGAAUGAUUAGAAACCUUGGGGAUGAAACAUCCUUAAUUUAUUCUCAAACUUUAAAUAUGUAAGAAGUCCUUGUUACUUAGUUGAACGUGGACAUUUGAAUGCACCGUUACUAGUGGGCCAUUUUUGGUAAGCAGAACUGGCGAUGCGGGAUGAACCGAACGUGGGGUUAAGGUGCCGGAAUGUACGCUCAUCAGACACCAGGGGGGAGACUUGUGGUGUCGGGCUGGAGGGGGGGGGAGAGGCCCCUCCAGCGUUAGUCUGCUCAGGGCGAGGUCUUUGACCUGUUAGGGGUCGGUGGUCGCUCCGCGAUGGCCUACCCUCCGCUGUCCCCUCCUGCGGGGGCAGCUCACAGAUCAAGCAAAGGCCGGCGGCAGGAUGCCGUUGGAGAUAUGAUCGGCCCCUG
rnacentral:rRNA from 1 species